GAUGAACGCUGGCGGCGUGCCUAAUACAUGCAAGUCGAGCGAACGGACGAGAAGCUUGCUUCUCUGAUGUUAGCGGCGGACGGGUGAGUAACACGUGGAUAACCUACCUAUAAGACUGGGGUAACUUCGGGAAACCGGAGCUAAUACCGGCUAAUAUUUUGAACCGCAUGGUUCAAAAGUUCAAGAGAGUCUUGCUGUCACUUAUAGAUGGAUCCGCGCUGCAUUAGCUAGUUGGUAAGGUAACGGCUUACCAAGGCAACGAUGCAUAGCCGACCUGAGAGGGUGAUCGGCCACACUGGAACUGAGACACGGUCCAGACUCCUACGGGAGGCAGCAGUAGGGAAUCUUCCGCAAUGGGCGAAAGCCUGACGGAGCAACGCCGCGUGAGUGAUGAAGGUCUUCGGAUCGUAAAACUCUGUUAUUAGGGAAGAACAGAUGUGUAAGUAACUGUGCACAUCUUGACGGUACCUAAUCAGAAAGCCACGGCUAACUACGUG
rnacentral:rRNA from 1 species